UCGAUCGCUGUUGCCAUCCGCCUGUCUAUAAAAGAUGAUUCAGACAGAGUAGAUAUGAGAUGUAUUUAACUUCCAAGUUGAAUUAAUUAACCAUGUAUACUUUGAUUCUGAAUGUGGUAGCUGUUGCCUUGAUGGCCUGUACUGUAAACAGCGAGCCGUUGAGAGUAUGUAACGUGACCGAGUGUACGAAUUCAGGGAGACAGUGUGUCCUAUACAGAUGUGUGACCGAUGGUAGACAUUGUAAUGUUGUUAUAGAUGACAUGUUUAAUUACUGUUAUGAUAAGGGUGAACAAUGUGGGGAAGGAUUCUGUACUAAAGGUACAGGAUGUAAAAACAACACGUGCUUGAUUAAAGCAGGCUGUGGUUGGAAGGCUGAUGAUACCCCUUGUUGGUUUGCUGCUAAUGCCCAUUGUUCAGAUGGUGUUUGUCUCAUAUCAUGUAGUGUAGACAGGGGGUGUUUUGGUGGGCCAUGUAUCGAUGGAGUCUGUGCACGUUUUAAAUGUGGAGAUUCGUUUUGUUUAGGCUUGUAAUAUUUGACCACUUCUUUUAAAUAAAUGAAUGCUAUUUAGUUCUUUCUUUAUAAAUUAUAAUUCUAAGCCAACAAUAUAUUGAUCUAAACCAAUAACUACAACAUAUUCAUCAGUAUUUCUUCAUAAAAACAAGAUAAACCAAGAUUUCAAAAUGUAACCCAGAUUGAAAAUAAAUAGUUUGUUCUUUCUUUGUUGUUCAUUUUGUUUACCUCGUGUUACUGUGUUUGUCCGUCAUCCAUGUUAUAUUCCGUAUUUUGUUAACCUUAAUUAGGCGAUUAGUAGAAGAAACAACAGCUGCACGGGCAAAAUUUCACACACUAUACACCGCUUUAUACCGAUUCACGCAGAACAGUUUAAAACCCCACUUCAUUUUGAAACAUCUCGUGAACAAGUGUCACGAUUUGCCAUAAUCAACCCAGCCCUAUCCUGCAAGAUACAUAAAGAUGGCGUUACUCCUUCUUGGGCUUCCAGAUUAUAAAGAUGGUGAUGUAAUGAUUUAAACAACCAAUACGAGGGCUGGCUGAACAGUUUUAAACCUGUCUCUGUGAAAGAUUUGUACAAAGUCGACGCUUUCCGUUUAUUUUUCUACAUAGUCCCCUUCGAGGUGCACACAAUAUUGGCGACGAUAUCCACCCUAAAAAAAAAGUCGUUCACAGCUGACAUAAUAAAUGGUUGUUUAAAUCAUUACAUCACCAUCUUUAUAAUCUGGAAGCCCAAGAAGGAGUAACGC